GACGAACGCUGGCGGCGUGCUUAACACAUGCAAGUCGAACGGAAAGGCCCUGCUUUUGUGGGGUGCUCGAGUGGCGAACGGGUGAGUAACACGUGAGUAACCUGCCCUUGACUUUGGGAUAACUUCAGGAAACUGGGUCUAAUACCGGAUAGGAGCUCCUGCUGCAUGGUGGGGGUUGGAAAGUUUCGGCGGUUGGGUAUGGACUCGCGGCUUAUCAGCUUGUUGGUGGGGUAGUGGCUUACCAAGGCUUUGACGGGUAGCCGGCCUGAGAGGGUGACCGGCCACAUUGGGACUGAGAUACGGCCCAGACUCCUACGGGAGGCAGCAGUGGGGAAUAUUGCACAAUGGGCGGAAGCAUGAUGCAGCAACGCAGCGUGCGGGAUGACGGCCUUCGGGUUGUAAACCGCUUUCGCCUGUGACGAAGCGUGAGUGACGGUAAUGGGUAAAGAAGCACCGGCUAACUACGUG
rnacentral:rRNA from 1 species